CUUGUGAUGUACAUCUGGAAGAGGACAGAGACUGGGGAGUGACCAGGCAGCCUCCUCACACAGUGCACACCCACGCGUGCACGCACACACUCCAGCACUCAGAAGCGGGCUGUGCCAAAGCAACCGCUUCAGCUAGGGGACAUGUGAACAGAAAUUAUGGUGACAUGCAGAAUGACCACAUGAUAAUGAUCAGAUUUAGAAGACGCAGUUUUUAUGCCACAGAGUCAAGUACCAUUUUGGGUAGUGAAGAACCCAUGCAAUACGAUGCUCAGAUACCAAAUAAACCUUCUACAAGAAUGAAGUUUAUGAAGACCAGGUAGGUGAGAGGCUGUACAUUUUACUUUUUUGCAUCCCUCGUACUUCUAGCUGAUUCUUCACACUUCUGAGCAAUGAAGACAAAAGCAUUUACUGAUUAGUCUAUUGGCUGAAUUAGAACUUUUCAACCAGUGUGUCACAUAGGUUUCAGUUGUGCUGGGAAAUUGACUUCAACAUUCCUUGGGACAACUGUGAUCAGCUCUAUCUAUUCAUUUACUCCAGGAUAUUUUAAAAUAUUAAUUUUUUAAAAUUUGUGUCAUGACAUACAAAAGGUUGGGAAAACCUGAACUAGCUAAAGAAUGAUUACACUAGUUAUUUUUGAAAUUUAGGAAGCCUAAAUUUAUGUGGGCUGUUCUUUUAAAAAAUUUUAUUUUUCAAUUACAGUUGACAUUCAAUAUUAUUUUAUGUUAGUUUCAAGUCUAAUAUGUAGGCUUCCUUAUUUCAUUGUGGGAAGCAGGUAAAUUUUCCUAGGCUCAGUUAUCACAUGUGUCCCUGGCGGCCUAGUGAGGAAGAUGUGCCUGUUUCAAGUAGACAUUUAAGUUAGUUCACCUUUGGUAAUGGUUACAAGAAACCAGUAGAGGGCAUUAUUGAUUUAUCAUGUCUUUAACAAAAGUGAUAAAGGAGUUUGCAACCCUGAAAAAUGGUGUGCUGAUACUUAAAUUAUUGGGUGUAGUGUGUUUAUGUGGCCAGAGCACAUGCAAGUUCAAAUAGAUGCAUUUUGCAAUAUUACAAUGGAAAUUGUUCAUUUCCUAGAAUGAUGUGUCAACACUGGUGCGAAUACAGGAUGAUGGGAUUCUGUUUAUUAUUACAUGUAGCCGAUGCUCUAGAAAACUGUAGUUAGAUCGGAGUUACAUAAAUUAGAGCAUAUCAUUACAGCAUUCUGAGGCUGUGUAAAAAGUGUUAUGUAACAUUUCUACUAGGUAUAUUCGUUUUUAUGCCUCUCUAUAUUUUUUAAAAUAUAACCUUUAUAAAUCUUUUCAAUUAAAUUACAAACAAUUAAGAGCUUGGGGCCUAUAGUUAAUUAGUAUUCUUCAGAGUAUUAACUAGUGUUUAGGAGAUAUUCAUUGAGUAAUUUCUGAAAGCACUUCACACAUAAUAGGGGCUCAGAACUGUUUGCAGAAUUGGAAUCUUGUAUCAGGGCUUAGCUGAUGAUCGCGAGGCAUCGUUUAAAUUGCGUUAUACCUGAACCCUUGAAAACGUGCUAUGGCUGCAUCUAUUCUGAGUGAGCUGACUCUGCUUACUUCCUUCUCUCCAAAAUAAAUUUAUAUCUUAUUUGAUGAGAGUUUAUUAUAACAGAUUUAAUUUUAUAAGGGUGUUGAAAAAUUAAUUUCACAGAGCAAUGACUUUAGUCUGAUAAAAACAUAGAAAAAAGUACAAAAGCACAUUGCUUCAUAUAACUUAGGUUCUAGAUAAUUUAAAGCAAAUGAAUAUUUUGAAACUUUAAAAAAAAUAUGCUGAAUGCCUGACAGGACUUUCUUUGCUUAAAAA